UGCAACAAGAGCAAAGCUGAUCAUUUAAUAGAAUUCUUUGCACGCUGGCUACAAGGCUAGAAUAAACUGAGUAACUACAUAUACUGUACUUGGCCAGAAAAGCCUGGCGGAUCCAACAGAUUUUUACUUUGUAAGACAGAUUUUGCUGUAUUUGUGCUUUUUUUUUUUCCAUCUCCCCCCGAGGAGUAUUAACUCAAAGCAAUCACAAGACACCCAUCCUUGCCUGCUGCUUCCUGGGCUGCUACUUGUAUCUUCUUCAUUCCUUACUGCUUCUCUAGCCAUUUGAAUCAUCUUUUUAAACUGCCUUCUGCUCCUCAAAUGAUAACUCUGUCAUUUGGGAAAGGCUAAACAUGUAAAAGCAUUUUCAUUUCUGUAGCAUUCACUUUCAUUUACUCUCUUCUUUCUGUUCAAGUCAAGCAGCACAGAGUGCUGUAUAAAUAGCAAAGCCUGUACUACAUCCAGUUUUGAAGUAUUUUUAAAAUACAGUAUUGAAAAAAUAAGAGACAAACUGCAAGGAAAAUGCUAAGCUGCUCCUGAGCCUGAUGACGAUGUACGUAUUUUGUCUUGGUUACCUGAGCAAUCUCCAGAAGCUUGAAUGGAUUACAAUAAUAUUCUAACAAGGCUGCAGGCAUCAUCAACAGCUCUCAUCUUCAGAAGAAGAUAAGAAAUGGAAGAAUGUAAUUAUUUCCAUGUAAGCUAAAUUCCAGUAGCUGACUGCCAUGAUAGGGAAAGCCCUGAAAACUUUGCUGUCUUAAAUGUUUUAAUCUCAUAUAAAACAAAUAGGGCAAACAUUUGCCAAGGUUUCCUGCAGGGCAACUGAACAUACAAGUGCGGAGAGGUGGAGGUAGGAAAGAGACAGAAACCAGACCCUCUGGAUCUUCGUCUUCUCAGUGCUGCUACUGCUGACGCUGUGGUGAAGGUAUCAGUGUGACUCCCCAGCAGUUUCUCAGCAACUAGAAUCAAUUAAUAUGCUUUGCAGAAGGUAGAGGGGAAGCCCAGGCUGCUGCCAACGAGAAGGUGGGAGGCUCAGGGUGCUUCAAAAUCCCACUCAACCCUCUCUUCCCUUAGCCAUUGUCCUUUAUCUGUUCUCCUUUCCCUACUAGGGUGACCAGAUGUCCCGAUUUUAUAGGGACUGUCCCGAUUUUGGGGGCUUUUUCUUAUAUAGGCACCUAUUACCCCCCCACCCCCAUCCUGAUUUUUUACACUUGCUAUCUGGUCACCCUAUUCCCUACAGUAUAUAGAUGCCCACUGAACUUCAGGCAUGAUAUCUCCUAAACUCUCCUCAUCUUUAGGGGCUUGGCUUUUAUACUUAAUGUAUUCCUUUAUUUACUUCUUUAUUUUUGCCAAGAAUUCUCCAAAGCUAAUCUAGAAUUUCUAAUGCCCGCGCUAGUUGGGAAAGAAAAUGGAUAGCUCAUGUCUUGGUAAGAUAGUUUCAAAGAUUCCUUAAGAUUACAAGGGUUGGGAACACCUGUGGGAAUCAGGAAAGUUUGGUUUUGAUUGGUUUGGUUUAUUAUACAGUAACCAGCUCUCUCUACAUGAUGAGAUCAAAUAGAUCAUAUUGCUUACUGUGAAACAUAUAUAGAGAGAGGGAGAGAAUACAUUAUUUUUUCUUUGCAUAGUAAUUUCAGGGCUUCAGUAAAGUGUUUUCUUUCUUUCCCUCCCCCUUCCCCUUUCUUUCUUUGAUUUUCUUUGGAGUCCUUCUGACACCACAUAUCUGGGAAUGAAGAGCUUCUCAGAGCUGAUUGGAAAUGGCAUUGCUGCACUGAAACUUAACUGGAGGAAAUACAUCUCCCGAAGAAGAAAAUAUAAUGCACUUUAAGGAUCUGACUUCUGGUGAAAAAUUCAAGCCUAGAGAAAACUUGUCCGCUUUAUUAAGAAGAAUGGGUUGGACAAUCUUCUUCAGUUCCAAAGGAUAUCUGAACGCCAUGCUGAACUUAAUCUCUGCAGCAUGCUCUGUGCUUCUCUUCUCCUCCUGAUGCACUGCAUGGUUAGCCUGAGGAGAAGGAUAAAGAAACUGGCCUCCAAGAUGGUAAUCACUAGUGGAAAUGAAGAAGAUAAAGGCAAUCAAGAAAAGGAGAGCAAAGAAGAAACCAUCCUGGCAAUGCUUGGGAUUAUUGGAACAAUUCUGAACCUCAUUGUGAUCAUUUUUGUGUACAUUUACACAACAUUGUGAGCCAGAAGGCACACGAUGAGAACCAAUGAAACGGCUGCUAAAGGUGAUAACAAACAUUUUAGGUAUUGACAUGUUGCUUAAUCAGAAUUUAUUCUGUACUAUAUUACCACAUCAUAAAAGCACUGCCUGCAGGCAGUGAAAGCUGAAGCACAAUUAAUUUAACCAGACUUUUUCACGCAGUAACAAGCUAAACUCUUCUGUCUUGCUCCUUUUCCUUUUUGUGGGGGUUUGGUUUUGGGGGAAAUUACUGCAAUGAUGUAAGUGGCAGCUUUGAAGAACUCAAUCUGGGAUACAAACACAAUAGAAAGAAACUGUACACUAUUUAGAAUUACUAAUGUAUACCAUGUACUCUGAAAGAUAGCUAGAUAACACAGAUUUUGUGUCCAUUAGGUCAAAUAAUUUUUUUUUCUCCUUGACUUUUCAAUUUUAUUUACAUUGAAACUGACAGGCUUUUUAUUUAGAAUGAACAUAUGGUGCAAUCAUG